rnacentral:lncRNA from 1 species
AACCUCAGUCUUUCGGUCACAGUAAAUAUAUUCACACCUGUUUCACCUCAUUGCAAUUUUGAUUAAAGAUAAGGGGCAUCAGCACAACAGAAAGGAGGCAGAGACUGUUAUUUUAAUCAUUAUGGAGAAUGAAGAGGACGUCUAUGCCCAAGUACAGGAGUUUUGUGUAAAUGGCUGUAAUGAUUCGGCUGCAGGUUAUGAGACCUUUCGACAGAAUCCACUGGCUAUAAUAAGACUGAAUCACAGAUAUCAGGACACUCAGCAUUAUAGACUGGCUACAGUUUCCCUGGGACUGCUGUGUGUUCUCCUACUGACUGCAGUCCUAGGCAUCUCUGUGAGCUAUAACAAUGGCAACAAUGAGCUUUCAAAAACUCUUUCUCUGCUAACAGACAACCAAACCACUCAAAUGGAAGACAUUCUCAGUAGUUAUGAAAACAUGACUAAAGAGAAAGAAGUGCUGAUGAGAGAGAUAAGGAAGCUACAGACCAAUUAUACCAGGUUGAUUAAAGAAAGAGACCAGUCACAAAGUAAUUACAUCAACAUGACUGGAGAGAGAGACCAGCUGAAGACUAUUUUAAACUUCACGAAUAAAGAAAAAGACUUGAUACAGACCCGUUUCAACUCUUUGACUGGAGACAUGGCCCAGCUACAAACCCAUUACAACACUAUGGCUGAUGAGAAAUAUCAUAUACAAAAGAAAAUAGCACAACUGGAAUUAAAGAUAUCACAAGAACUGGGUGAGUAUGUUAAGUCUGUUAAGGGGAUAUCUCUACAUUUUAAUUGAUGUGAAAAAAUAAUUACUAGAAAUGUGGCGAAAUUAAC